GGGCCCUUAGCUCAGCUGGUAGAGCAGUGCUUUUGCAAAGCAAAGGUCAGGAGUUCGAAUCUCCUAGGGUCCA
rnacentral:tRNA from 2 species